rnacentral:rRNA from 1 species
UACGGAGGGUGCAAGCGUUUAAUCGGAAUUACUGGGCGUAAAGCGUGCGCAGGCGGUUUGUUAAGUCCGUUGUGAAAGCCCCGAGCUCAACUUGGGAAUUGCAGUGGAUACUGGCAGGCUGGAGUACGGUAGAGGAAGGUGGAAUUCCCGGUGUAGCAGUGAAAUGCGUAGAGACCCGGAGGAACACCAGUGGCGAAGGCGGCGUCCUGGCCUGCGACUGACGCUGUGGCGCGAAAGCUAGGGGAGCGAACGGG